rnacentral:rRNA from 1 species
GACGGAAGGUGCAAGCGUUGCUCGGAAUCACUGGGCGUAAAGGGUGCGUAGGCGGCCGUGCAAGUCUGGUGUGAAAGCCCCGGGCUCAGCCCGGGAAGUGCGCUCGAAACUGCGCGGCUCGAGUGCCGGAGGGGAGAGUGGAAUUCCUGGUGUAGCGGUGAAAUGCGUAGAUAUCAGGAGGAAUACCGGUGGCGAAAGCGACUCUCUGGACGGUAACUGACGCUGAGGCACGAAAGCGUGGGGAGCGAACAGG